rnacentral:rRNA from 1 species
UACGUAGGGUCCGAGCGUUGUCCGGAAUUACUGGGCGUAAAGAGCUCGUAGGUGGUUUGUCGCGUUGUUCGUGAAAACUCACAGCUUAACUGUGGGCGUGCGGGCGAUACGGGCAGACGUUGAGUACUGCAGGGGAGACUGGAAUUCCUGGUGUAGCGGUGGAAUGCGCAGAUAUCAGGAGGAACACCGGUGGCGAAGGCGGGUCUCUGGGCAGUAACUGACGCUGAGGAGCGAAAGCGUGGGGAGCGAACAGG